GAUGAACGCUAGCGGCAGGCCUAAUACAUGCAAGUCGAACGGUGUCUUCGGACAUAGUGGCGCACGGGUGCGUAACACGUAUGCAACCUACCUUACAUUGGGGGAUAGCCUUUCGAAAGGGAGAUUAAUACCGCAUAAGACAGUAGCUGGGCAUCCAGCAGCUGUUAAAGAUUUAUCGAUGUAAGCUGGGCAUGCGUCCAAUUAGCUAGUUGGUGAGGUAACGGCUCACCAAGGCAAUGAUUGGUAGGGGAACUGAGAGGUCAAUCCCCCACACUGGCACUGGGAUACGGGCCAGACGCCUACGGUAGGCAGCAGUAGGGAAUAUUGGGCAAUGGACGCAAGUCUGACCCAGCCAUGCCGCGUGCAGGAUGAAGGCGUUAUGCGUUGUAAACUGCUUUUAUACAGGAAGAAACGACUCUUGCGAGAGGCAUUGACGGUACUGUAUGAAUAAGCACCGGCUAACUCCGUGCCAGCCGCCGCCGUAACAC
rnacentral:rRNA from 1 species